rnacentral:misc_RNA from 1 species
GAUGAAGAACGUAGCGAAAUGCGAUAAGUAAUGUGAAUUGCAGAAUUCCGUGAAUCAUCGAAUCUUUGAACGCACAUUGCGCCCGCCAGUAUUCUGGCGGGCAUGCCUGUUCGAGCGUCAUUUCAACCAUCAAGCCCCAGGCUUGUGUUGGGGACCUGCGGCUGCCGCAGGCCCUGAAAACCAGUGGCGGGCUCGCUAGUCACACCGAGCGUAGUAGCAUACACAUCGCUCAGGGCGUGCUGCGGGUUCCGGCCGUUAAACCCCUUUUUUACCCAAGGUUGACCUCGGAUCAGGUAGGAAGACCCGCUGAACUUAAGCAUAUCAAUAAGCGGAGGA